rnacentral:rRNA from 1 species
CGGGUGAGUAACGCGUGAGGAACCUGCCUCAAAGGGGGGAACAACAGUUGGAAACGACUGCUAAUACCGCAUAAGCCCACGGCUCGGCAUCGAGCAGAGGGAAAAAGAGCAAUCCGCUUUGAGAUGGCCUCGCGUCCGAUUAGCUAGUUGGUGAGGUAACGGCCCACCAAGGCGACGAUCGGUAGCCGGACUGAGAGGUUGAACGGCCACAUUGGGACUGAGACACGGCCCAG